rnacentral:rRNA from 1 species
CAGUCGCCGCGGGAAUACGAAGGGGGCUAGCGUUGCUCGGAAUUACUGGGCGUAAAGGGCGCGUAGGCGGCGCUCCAAGUUAGGCGUGAAAUUCCCGGGCUCAACCUGGGGACUGCGCUUAAGACUGGAGUGCUUGAGGAUGGAAGAGGGUUGUGGAAUUCCCAGUGUAGAGGUGAAAUUCGUAGAUAUUGGGAAGAACACCGGUGGCGAAGGCGGCAACCUGGUCCAUUACUGACGCUGAGGCGCGAUAGCGUGGGGAGCAAACAGGAUUAGAUACCCGCGUAGUCCCUGUCUCUUAUAC